rnacentral:ncRNA from 2 species
UUGCCACUGUUUAUUUUCUGUAAAUGGGAAGGCGUUCAAAACAGGAGUAAGUCAGAAGACCUGCCGGACAAUUCAUUUCAAU